CUUCCACGCUCACAUAUCCUUAGCCCUAACUCGAACUCUCUCCCCGGAUCUACCGCACGGUGCCCUCUCGCCGCGCCUUCUCCUCUCAGCGUCCCUGUCGUGCCUCGUCCCUUGUAUUCCACUCAUCCCUUGUAUUUCCCCGCGCCUCUGUCCCUCUCUCCCUCGCCGCGUCUCGCCUACGUGCCUCCGUGCUUCCGUGCUUCCAUGCUUCCCUCGCUUCGCCGCGCUGUGCCUCCGUCCCUCCCUCACCGCGCCUCCGCUCCGUCCCUCGCGCUUGGUUUCGCUGCCUCGCGCCUGCUCCCGUGGCUUCCAUUUCAGACAGAGCCCAGGACUAGGAUUGAAUAGUGUGGCUAAUGACAAAAUUGCAUCAAUAUGACUCUAAGAUUGAAUAGAAUAUCCAAUAGAUGAUCAUCAGCCGGGUCUUUAUUCAUGGAAGCCUUAGAGGGGAAAUUGACCCAAGUAAUCAGGAUAAAAAAUCCUGAAUUUUAUAGAAUCAUUCUAUUUGAUCAGCGAGUUGCAAUUGACGACAUUGAAAAGCUACGAGAAUACUUGGGUAUUGGUUUUAUUGUAGCUGAUUAUGAGAAUGGAGGCUGGGAUCGCAACAUGGGAAAUGCUAGGGGUGAAGGGGCAGAGUAAGAGGAUGUGAUUUUUGUGGAUACAACCAAGAUGUCUCCUCAAGGAUAUACUACAAGAUGUCGUCUUUUAUUCAAAUGUCUUUUUUCUAUAUAGAUGAGAGAAGACAGAAUUAUAUAUCUUGCAGUGUUGAUUAUUUUGAAGAUUUUCGAAAAAUACUUGAUAGUUUAUGAUGUAAUGAACAUAAAAAAUAUCUAUAUUUAUGAUAUUGUAACAAUGAUGUAAUGAACAUAAAAAAUAGAAUUACUUUAAGCAAUAUAGUUUAUGUUUGUAAUUAUUUUAUUUUCUAUUAAGUGAUAUUAAUACUAA